AUAACUUCUUGGCCUUUUGACUAAGAGCAAGAGGAGUCACUGUUCUUGCUGGUUUAAUUUGGGAUGCGUCCUCUAUCUAAGGUUGCUACAUUACGUGUACUUUUAGAGGAGGAAAAUGGAGUAGCCUGCUAUGUCCACUCCACACAUUGGCUUGGUAUUGCAGCACCCCCGGGAGCAGUGUACACAAC